AACUGAGGGUAGCGGAGAAAUUCCAAUCGAACCUGGAGAUAGCUGGUUCUCUCCGAAAUAGCUUUAGGGCUAGCCUCAAGUGAUGAUUAUUGGAGGUAGAGCACUGUUUGGACGAGGGGCCCCUCUCGGGUUACCGAAUUCAGACAAACUCCGAAUGCCAAUUAAUUUAACUUGGGAGUCAGAACAUGGGUGAUAAGGUCCGUGUUCGAAAGGGAAACAGCCCAGACCACCAGCUAAGGUCCCAAAAUAUAUGUUAAGUGGAAAAGGAUGUGGCGUUGCCCAGACAACUAGGAUGUUGGCUUAGAAGCAGCCAUCAUUUAAAGAGUGCGUAAUAGCUCACUAGUCGAGUGACACUGCGCCGAAAAUGUACCGGGGCUAAACAUAUUACCGAAGCUGUGGAUUGUCCUUUGGACAAUGGUAGGAGAGCGUUCUAAGGGCGUUGAAGCAUGAUCGUAAGGACAUGUGGAGCGCUUAGAAGUGAGAAUGCCGGUGUGAGUAGCGAAAGACGGGUGAGAAUCCCGUCCACCGAUUGACUAAGGUUUCCAGAGGAAGGCUCGUCCGCUCUGGGUUAGUCGGGUCCUAAGCUGAGGCCGACAGGCGUAGGCGAUGGAUAACAGGUUGAUAUUCCUGUACCACCUAUAAUCGUUUUAAUCGAUGGGGGGACGCAGUAGGAUAGGCGAAGCGUGCGAUUGGAUUGCACGUCUAAGCAGUAAGGCUGAGUAUUAGGCA
rnacentral:rRNA from 1 species